GAAAAAUUAGAGGGAACAUUGGUGCUGACAAUUCAGGUGACAAGAAUGGCACAGCAACCAGCUGCAGUGUUUCUCGUAUCUCGUGACCGGAACAGCACAAUGACAACGCUGCCAUGUCAACACAUCGGGGCACCAGAAUGAUACAACAACCAUCUGCAAUGUUUACAUAUCUGGUAACGAGAGUGAUGUAAUGACAGCACUGCAAUGUCGACAAUUGUGGGGUGGCCAGAACAGUAAACUGCAAUGCUGCGGUGUCAAUACACUGCAAUGACAGUGCUGUGGUGUCGACCAUGUUGGGGAACCAAACCAGCGCAAUGCCAAUACGGGGUUGUCCACCACUUUGGGAAACCAGAACGGCUCAAUUCCAACAUUGUGUUGUUGAUAUGUCAAGGGACCAAAAUUCUACAACAACGUUACAGUGGGUGACCAGAAUGGCACAAUGACAAUACUGCCAUGUCAGCACACUUAGGAACCAGAACAGUGCAACAACAACAACAACGCUGCAGUAUUGAGACGUUGGGGAACCAGAAUAUCACAAUUCCAACGCUGCAGGUUCGACCACAUUUGGGAACCAGGAUGUCACACUGACCACCUGCAGUGUCUACAUAUCUGGUGACUGUAAUGGUACAACAACAAUGCAUCAGGGUCAGCACAUCUAUAGGGGCUUUCGACCAAAGAGCACCAGGUGCUAGGCUGGUUCAAAGUUGAGAGCCAGUGCUUUUUUGGUUCAAAUCUUGUGCCGCCCCAGAACCGGUUUGUGUUUCCAUUCAGAAGGAGCAAAGUUGGGGCUGCGUCAUUGCGCCACCACAAAACGUGUGUACGUCACUGCGUACGUAGCCGUUCAACAGCGUUCGCGCCGUACGGAAACCCACACAACAACAAUGGAGGACUUCAUUGGAGUGGUGUUCAUGGCUUUGCUAGUGUGUCUCGCCAUUGCUGAGCAGCAAAACCUUCUGUUAGGGGUUACCCAUCGGCGUCGCCGUUCCAAUGCCCCGGCGAUCACGUUUGAGAAGAAAGAUGUUUUUAGAUGUCACCCCGCCCCCUGCCCAUGACAUGCUCGGCUCUCAACUCUGGCCAAGUCUGGCCCAGCAACGAGUUGGUGCCCGAAAAAGCCCCAGUUUUUGGAGCCCGGAGCCGCAGCUCCGGUGGUGGAAAGACAAAAAAACGGCGCCAAGUCGGGCACCGGCUCCGACUCCGAACGGGCUCCACCCCGGUCGAAAGCUCCCACUAGAGACCAGAAUGGCACAACACUGCUAUAUUGACAUGUUGGGAGACCAGAAUAGCACAGCAACCAGCUCCAGUGUCUACACAUCCUGUGACCAGAAUGCUGAAACAACAACACUGCAGUAUCAACAUGUUGGGGGACCAGAACGGCGCAAUCCCAACACUGUGGCGUCAUCCACAUUGGAGAACCAGAAUGGUACAAUGACCAGCUGCAGUGUCUACACAUCUGGUGACUGUAAAUGCGCAAUGACAAUGCAACAGGGUCAGCACAUCUAUGGACCAGAAUGGCACAACAGCAACACUGCGAUAUCGACAUGUUGGGAAACCAGAAUAGCACAACAACCAGCUCCAGUGUCUACACAUCCUGUGACCAGAAUGCUGAAACAACAACACAGUAUCAACAUGUUGGGGGACCAGAACGGCUAAAUGCCAACACUGCAGUGUCGUCCAUGUUGAGGAAGUAGAAUGGCACAAUGACAACGCUGCAAUGUCGUCCACGUGGGGGGACCACAACGGCGCAAUGACAAUGGUGCGGUGUCGGCAUGCCAGGGAACCAGAACAGUGUAAUGAGACAGCUGUAGUGUCGGCUAAUCUGGGGGAACAGACUGGUGAAACAACAAUGCUGCAGUGUCAACAUGCUGGAGGACCAGAAUGGCACAGUGACAACGCUGCAGUAUUGACACGUUGGGGAACCAGAACGUUGCAAAGCCCCCCUUUUCCGUCCAAACACACUCGACUUCAGUUCACCCCGUUAAUCAGCAGCUUCUUCCCUCUUCAAUCAUGUUUCUUUAAAAUGUUGUAAUUCUCAGAUGUAUUUUAUUCUGAAAUAAAUGAUCAAAUUUGAUGUUUUCUUUCUGAAGCCAAUAAAAAAGGCAGAUUACUGUGCCAGUCUUCUGUGUUGCUGCUUUAUUUCUGUUAAUGUUCUCCCAAACCCCUUUUCUGUGUUAUUGGAACAGUUUCUGCUGAUCCAGUUCAAACUGUUCAGUCCUUUUUAUCCACUGAUUGAAUUCACAGCAACAUUUGAAAAAGUUUUCCAACAG
ensembl:lncRNA